rnacentral:rRNA from 1 species
CAGGGAUUGCCCUAGUAACGGCGAGUGAAGCGGCAACAGCUCAAAUUUGAAAUCUGGCUUCGGCCCGAGUUGUAAUUUGCAGAGGAUGUUUCUGGCGCGGUGCCUUCCGAGUUCCCUGGAACGGGACGCCACAGAGGGUGAGAGCCCCGUAUGGUUGGACACCAAGCCUGUGUGAAACUCCUUCGACGAGUCGAGUAGUUUGGGAAUGCUGCUCAAAAUGGGAGGUAAAUCUCUUCUAAAGCUAAAUACCGGCCAGAGACCGAUAGCGCACAAGUAGAGUGAUCGAAAGAUGAAAAGCACCUUGAAAAGGGGGUUAAACAGUACGUGAAAUUGUUGAAAGGGAAGCACUUGUGACCAGACUUGUGCCGGGCGGUUCAUCCGGGGUUCUCCCCGGUGCACUCCGCCCGGUAUAGGCCAGCAUCGGUUCUUUCUGGGGGAUAAGAACGGUGGGAACGUGGCCCUCCCUCGGGAGGGUGUUAUAGCCCGCCGUACGAUACCCUGGAGGGGACCGAGGUUCGCGCUCCGCAAGGAUGCUGGCGUAAUGGUCACCAGUGACCCGUCUUGAAACACGGACCAAGGAGUCGUCCAUUAGAGCGAGCGUUUGGGUGUCAAACCCGCACGCGUAAUGAAAGUGAAAUUAGGUGAGAGCUUCGGCGCAUCAUCGACCGAUCCUGAUGUUCUCGGAUGGAUUUGAGUAAGAGUUUUAACGGACGGACCCGAAAGACAGUGAACUAUGCUUGUAUAGGGUGAAGCCAGAGGAAACUCUGGUGGAGGCUCGCAGCGGUUCUGACGUGCAAAUCGAUCGUCAAAUAUGAGCAUGGGG